rnacentral:rRNA from 1 species
AGAAUGAACGCUGGCGGCAGGCCUAACACAUGCAAGUCGAACGGGCACCUCGGUGCUAGUGGCGGACGGGUGAGUAACGCGUGGGAACAUACCCUUUGGUACGGAAUAGCCCCGGGAAACUGGGAGUAAUACCGUAUGUGGUCUUCGGACGAAAGAUUUAUCGCCAAAGGAUUGGCCCGCGUUGGAUUAGGUAGUUGGUGGGGUAAUGGCCUACCAAGCCGACGAUCCAUAGCUGGUUUGAGAGGAUGAUCAGCCACACUGGGACUGAGACACGGCCCAGACUCCUACGGGAGGCAGCAGUGGGGAAUCUUAGACAAGUGGGGGAAACCCUGGAUCUAGCCAUGCCGCGUGAUCGAUGAAGGCUUAGGGUUAGUAAAGAUUCUUUACAGGUAGGGAAGAUAAGUGGAACCGGUAACCCAACGAAGAAAGAACGUCCCCGGACUAACCUCCGUAGCCAGCCAGCCGAC